rnacentral:rRNA from 1 species
ACGUCAAGUCCUCAUGGCCCUUACGGGCUGGGCUACACACGUGCUACAAUGGCGGUGACAGUGGGGAGCGACCCUGUGAAGGGUAGCCAAUCCCAAAAAGCCGUCUCAGUUCGGAUUGCACUCUGCAACUCGAGUGCAUGAAGUCGGAAUCGCUAGUAAUCGUGGAUCAGCACGCCACGGUGAAUACGUUCCCGGGCCUU